rnacentral:rRNA from 1 species
AGACGUGCGCAGGCGGUUAUGUAAGACAGAUGUGAAAUCCCCGGGCUCAACCUGGGAACUGCAUUAGUGACUGCAUAGCUGGAGUACGGCAAGAGGGGGAUGGAAUUCCGCGUGUAGCAGUGAAAUGCGUAGAUAUGCGGAGGAACACCGAUGGCGAAGGCAAUCCCCUGGGCCUGUACUGACGCUCAUGCACGAAAGCGUGGGGAGCAAACAGGAUUAGAUACCCUUGU